UGGUGGGCCCGCCGGGAUUUGAACCCGGGAUCUCCCGCGCGUGAGGCGGGCAUCCUAACCGCUAGACUACGGGCCC
rnacentral:tRNA from 1 species